rnacentral:rRNA from 1 species
GACAGAGGGUGCAAACGUUGCUCGGAAUCACUGGGCGUAAAGGGCGUGUAGGCGGGAAGGCAAGUCAGAUGUGAAAUCCCUGGGCUCAACCCAGGAACUGCAUUUGAAACUCCCUUUCUUGAGUGUCGGAGAGGAAAGCGGAAUUCCUGGUGUAGAGGUGAAAUUCGUAGAUAUCAGGAGGAACACCGGUGGCGAAGGCGGCUUUCUGGACGAUAACUGACGCUGAGACGCGAAAGCGUGGGGAGCAAACAGG